rnacentral:rRNA from 1 species
GGCUCCCUGUAAAACUAUAGAUAGGGAGUCGGACCUGCCCAGUGAAUUUUUUAAACGGCCGCGGUACUCUGACCGUGCAAAGGUAGCAUAAUCAUUUGCCUUAUAAUUGAAGGCUUGUAUGAAUGGUUUAACAAGAAUAUAACUGUCUCUUUAUAAUUAAUUAAAAUUUUAUUUAUAGGUGAAGAAGCCUAUAUUUUAUUGAAAGACAAGAAGACCCUAUCGAGCUUUAAAAAAAUUAAUAAAUUUACAAUUUUAUAUUAAAUAAAAAAUAAGUUAUUAAAAAUUUUGGUUGGGGCGACUAAGGAACAAAUAAAGCUUCCUUUAUUUUUAAAGGCAAUCAAGUGACGACCCAAAAAUUUUGAUUAAAGAAUUUAGUUACCGUAGGGAUAACAGCAUUAUCUUUUUUGAGAGUUCUAAUCGAAAAAAAGGUUUGUGACCUCGAUGUUGGACCAGAAUAUCCUGAAGAUGCAGCUGUCUUCAAGGGUUGGUCUGUUCGACCAUUAAAAUUCU